ACACCAGCGCAGCACCGCCGACAGCCCGGCAUCACCCACACUGCGCCAGCAGGGAAACUGAGGCAUCGCUGGGUCUCGCUGCUUUGAGCCGCGCGAGCCCUUGCCUGGGCGAGCCAUGCGAGGUGAGGAGGGGAAGAAGAGCUGGGGGGACGUACCCCCCACGGCACACACUGUCACUGCCCUCCCCGCACGUCCCCAUCACCGCGAGGGCUGCUCUGUCCUGGCUCCCGAACACGUGCUGGACCCCGCACAGCCUGGCCUGGGUUGGGGAACCACGGCUCUGCCAGCGCUCCAGGGCUUUGGGGGGUUCCCGGCAGGACUGGGGUGGGCAGCAGGGCUGCAGGGAGGCCAGGGCAAAGCAGGUCAGGCUCCGUGACUUUGCUUGGCCUCGCUCCCUGCUUGAUGCCACUGCAAAGAGAUCACCCACUGUCUGCAAGGAGGGUCGGGGUGCAGUCAGGGCCCCCCAUCUGUCACCCCCCUCCCCAGGCAGACCACUGGGGACACCGGCUCUGCCUGUCCCCACUCCUCCUGCUGCUGCCCAGGGACCUUCUCCAGCCCCGUGAACUGUGUCCAUCUCCCAGCCGUGCAGCUGAGGAACGUUUUACCCUUUGCACUGGCCUCAGCUGAGGUCAUGUUUUCAGCAGAACUGAGCCGGGCUCUUUCAGGAGAGGGGCCCCGGCCCCGGGGACCUUGCACCACCCCUCCGGCCCGACAGCAGCCUACUCGCUUCAAGCUGGUGCCAGCACAGCAUGAGCAGCUCGGUUUGGCGCGGGAUGGGGCUGGAUGCAGCUUUGGUCCAGUGAGACACGGAGCAGCCCCGGUCCCACGGCUAGGGGGGAGUGGGGUGUGAUGCCAGCAGCCAGCGCAGGCAGCGCAGUUGUGUCUGCUGGCACCACCACGUCCCCAUCCCUCCCUCUGUCCUAAGGACAGGUCCCAGGGAAGAGCAGCGGGCUGGCCGUCCACCAAGGUGGAUCUUCCCCCCCUUCUCCCCACACAGCCCCCUGCACCCCCAGGGAGGGGACAGGAAUGGGGAGGGCUGGGUUUACCCCAGGUGGCAUUGGUGUAAACUGCAGGGCUUCAGUGGAGCAGCCCUUGGGCCCUGCAGUGCCGCGGCACCUCUGGACAGCGUGUGUACGGGGCGGGAAGCCCUGCCACCAGGGACAGUGAAGGCUCUGCUGUGCCGGGGGGAAGGACAGAGCCGGCAGCCCCCGGCUGUGGAGGCUCCUGGCGGGGUGCUGGCCCUGGGCUGGGCAGUGCUGCUUCUGCCCCCGUCCCUGUUCGGGGCCAGCGUGACCCCUGGCUCGCACUGCCGGUCUCGGAGCGAUUGCCCAUGUAAGGGCAGAGGGCUGGGGAGCCAAAUCCCCGAGCUGGAUUUCAAUGAGCGAGCGGGUGGUGAUGCACUCACUCACAUGCUCCAGGAUGCAAGAGGAGCUUGCGGAGGCCAGGAAGGGAUUUUCCCUGGCUUCGAGCAGGGUUGCACAACCGGCCGGCUCUGGCAGGGAAGGAGUCGGACCUCGCUCUGGAGCAGCAUCUGGAAGGGAGCAGCCGGGCUCCCGCUCCGCCUGACGUGGGGCAGGAGGAGCCUGGAGGCCGGGAGGGAAGCGGGUCGGGCUCCUUUCCCCGAGCCGGCGUAACUCGGCGCUGCCUCGCAAAGGCCUGCUGGUGCCCGGGGGCUCAGAGCCCUGCCGGGGCUGCCCUGCAAAGCUGUGCCGGGGGCUCUGCUCGCCCCCUGCCCCGGCUGGGGCUCUGGCAGCCCUGGGAAGCGCCGUCCUGCCGCGGGGCAGGGAAGCAACGUGCCCAUGGUCACGCCUCAGGCGGGGGCCAAGGCUGGUUCUCAAGCAAAGCUGGGAGCAAAACUCCACCAACCAGUCUGCCGCACGCGGGGUGAUGCUGCUUCCCCGCUCCCACGAACGGCCCGGGCGGGAACUGAGCCCCAACAGCACCCACGGAGUGAGGCGGGAGAGGAGCCAGGUCGGGAACCACGGGGAAACCAGCCCUGCCGCGGCAGCGGCAGCCGAGGAGAAUCAAAGGAGCCCAUGGGCAGGGGGCUGGGGGCGGCGGGAGGAGCUGGAGCGGGGACAAAGGAGCUCUUUGCAGCCGUGGUGAAUGGCAGCCUCACAUCUGACCUUUCCGUCUGGGUGCUGGCAUUGUGCUGGGUCAGGCGGUGUCCCGCUACGGUUCGGGCUGCAGCAAGAUUUCAGGCUGAGGUUCAAGAGCCAACCAUCCUCCCGCCCAAAACCCUGGCUACUUCAUUCUCCUCCUGAACUGCUGGGCUCCUUUAAGGAGGGAAUCUCGCCUCUCUCAUCAGUUCAGGCUAAUUAAACUCUGCUAAACCAAUUAGAGCUGCAAUUUGCAACAAGACAUUCAACUGAGAAGUGUUUCUUACAGAGCCCAGGGUCAGGGCACAGGCAAAAGAGCAGAGGUUUCAUACUGAUGGCCUGGAUCCGCUGGCAGGCGUUGGGCGGGUCCUUGGAUGUCUUUUGGUCGCCGUUUCCCCCUCGGAGUGAAGCAAUCCUGGCCCCAGUACGCUCCCCGUCGCAGCGGGAUGCCCGAGUUUCUCCCAUGCAAGCAGAGAUGCUGCCAAACACCCCAGCAGCACCCACGGGGAGCGGGGCUGCCGGCCGGGGGCUCCACAGCCCGAGCUGCUCCCUGAGCUCAGGCGUAGCUGUGGGGCCGCAGGAUCCCAGAAACCUGCGGGACGGGACCUGCGCUCGGUGCAGCAGGGCCAGCUCGAGAUCUGCCGAGGGUCAGCACUAGAGCACAGUGUGAACCCAGCAAGCGGGAGCCGGGCAAAGCUCGACCUGAGCCUCAGUCUCCCCCUGCACGAGCAUCCGUCGGAGCACAUGGCGAGUUGCCGGUGUGAGACGUGAGCUGAAGGCACGGCCCCGGUGCUGUGGGUGGCACUGGCUCUGCAGCCCCUCAGCACAGGGCCCCUCUGCAGUGGUGGGGAGCUGCCCUUCAAGGUGCGGGGCUGCUGCCAGCAGCUCUGACCCUGGGGCUGGAUUUUCUCCACCGUGUCCGUACGGCUCCAGCCGGGUAAAUCGAAGAGAUGCUUAUGGCUCACGGCCGCAUCACUGGCGUUGGGGAGAGAGUGGCGGAGCGGUGCGAUCCGCACCUCGAUGGCCUGGCUGGCCACACUCCACCCCCAGCGCUGACACGUAGCUUCGCCCCGCGCCCCGGGGCAGCAGCGUCACCGCUCCGUGCCUCAGUUUCCCCAUCUGCUGUGGCGAGAUAAUGCUCCUCUGCUUGAUCCUGCACUAUCUCACAGGAAGGUUGCAGGGAUUAGUUAGCUAAUGUUUGCAAGGAGCUUUGAAGAUGAAAAGCCGUGAACAAAUGCCAAGAAGUGCUGAGCUGGAUUCUCCUCGCCGAGUAAUCGUUUCAUGUUCCUGGGACACUUCCACUUCUGCAGAUGAAGGAGGGCAGGGCGGGAGAGUUUGCGUGUGGGGAGGGCAGGGGGGCGGGAGGCUUGCAUAUCUUCCCAAGACCUGCCCCUCCAAAUCUGAUCACCCGGCCUGUUUUACUCCUGAUCAAACUCAGAUCCCUCCUGCUAAUGCCUUUCCGCCACCCCGACUGCACCCUGCAAACGCCCGGACUCGCGAGACGGCUUCUUGCAGCGUCUUUCCCCUCCCCACUGGGCUCGUGGCUCUGGCUCCUAAUGCAGCAUCAACCGGGCAGUUAAUUAAUGCACCUUUACCUUAACCUUUACCUUGGCUUCCAGGCUGCCAGCAAGAAAGAGGUUAAAUGAUGUGGUACCCACUGCCCCCUCCUGCAGCUCCCCCAGCCUGACUCCCUGCCAUUUGCUGAUGAUCUCCCUGCCAGUUUUCAGUGUAUUGUAAAAGUGCUCAUAUCUCAGGCAAUUGGAUUUCAUUACUCGGCUCUGCCCCGUGUUGGAUGGAAGGCGCUCUGGGUUCUGUCCUUGCCAGGAAAAUGCCGGAGCAUGGAGCCAGGAGGUGCAAGCAGCAUGGAGUGGGGAUGGGGAAGGCUGGGACGCGGGAAAGCAGCGGCCAGAGCCAGGAGGCAGCAGGGAUGUCCUAUCCCGUCCCAUCCCAUCCCAUCCCACAGGACCCUGCUGCCCGGCCCAGGAGAAGGAGCCGGGUCUGACGAAGCGUGUUUCCCCUCUCAGUGAAAGAACAGAUGUCUCUUGUCUAUGGCCUGCAGUUGGCUCUGGUUUCUAUCUCUCCUGUCUGUGCACACACAGAUUUAUAGCCGCCUUAAUGAGUUCCUUACAAAACGAUCUUGUUGCCCACAUGGCUGGCUGAGCCUCGCAGGGGGUGGGCGCGGGGGGGGGGAGCAGGGGUGAGGGGUCGGCAGGGCUCCACCAUGGCCAGCAAGGCUGCAUCUCGGCAGCCCCGAAUGCUUGCACAAGCCACGGGUCACCUGCCGGGGUCCAGGCCGACCCGGGCGCACCGCAAGCAGAGUGGGAAGGCACCGGCUGUGCCCAGGACACGGCUCUGGCCGGGGAGGAAGGAGAGCGGGGCUCCCCGCUGCCGCCCAGCCCUGCACAGCCCCAUGCUGCUGCCAGGGUUGCUCCCCACAGCACCAAGUGCGUCCACCUCCCACUCCAAGCAGGGAACACUUUCACGAGGAAGAUGAUGCAGGAAAACCACCCGUGUACGUGCAUGCAGAGGGAACAGCAGCGGUGCACAUCCAUCCCCCAGGAUGGUGCUGGGGCAGGUGCGAGGACGAUGCCGUGAGCAAAUCAGGUCCUUCAUCCCACAGGGGCAGAGGAGGAGGAUGCUCCAAGCAUCCGUGGGGAAGCUGCAGCAGGAAUCGCCUCUGUGCCCGGCACCUCCUUGGGAGCACCGGCUCAGCCGUGCUUUCUGCGACCGUCCCCGCAGGAGCUGCGGCGGCUGCCGUGUCUCCGGGCUCGCGUGGCUGGGCUCUGCCACGCGUGACACUUCUCUGAGUAACUUUCACGGGCACACCGUGUAAACAAGCCGUGAGUCAGCGGCCGUGCCGGCCCUGCGGUUUCCCCAGUGUAAAUGCUUCCUCUGCCGCGGUGGAAGGAAGGGCCAAACCGAGCCUUGAGGGAAGAGCUGGCAGCGCCGUAAAACGUAAUGAAAUCGUGUGGGGCUGAACUGGGUCCAGAGGAGCUGAGAGUCGGUAAAACCUCCUGGGUCAUUAAAGCCUCUCUGGCUCCUCGGAGAGGCUGCGGAGAGGUGCUGCUGGAGGAGGCAGAGCGGCACCGGGAAAGACAGCAUCUGCUCUGCUGAUCUUUGGUCCAGGAGCAACGUGCUGGUUAGCCGGACGGGACAGCCAGGCUGCUGGCCGCCCUCCUCUGAUACCGGCCAGACGGAGGAUGCAGACUCCCACGGCACCUAAGCAUAUUUCUUCCACCUUCUUGCUCAGGGGGUCUUCUCCAGAGUGCUCCUGGAGCAGCAUGCCACCAUAACCCAGCACUCAUCAUGGACAGAGUUCGGCUCGGGAAGGGGUGGGAGACGCUGGCCUCAUUCUGCCCGUUGACUGCAUCACCAGACGCAGCACCUGCGGCCGCAUCCUGCCAUCAGUCCGACGGACGACAGUGCAGGGGCUGACAGACUCCAGAGCACCAUGUGCCCGGGGCUCCCGCCGGUGGCUGGGGCAGCACUGCCCAGGAUGAGGGCAGUGUGUUUGGGAAAGCAAAGGCAAGCAGCUAUCCUGCACAGCAGGGCACAGGCUGUGGGGUCCACGGAUGCCAGCGGGCUGACGCCAUUCCCGCAGUCUGACCUCGCAGCACCAGCCCUUGCUGAGAGAAGGUUUCCGCUACGAGCUGCGAUGACGACAGCCACUGUGGCCGAGGCCGAGCUGAGCUGGGCUGGGGCAUCCCGGCCCCGCCAGCCUGGCAGCCCCGCGGGACCCCGGUCCCUGGCUCUCAGCAGCCGGAGGUUCGGCCAGCGAAGGGCAGAGCCGCCGCAGGGCACGUCCCCCCGCGGAGCCCCCGUCCA